AACCAUGGUUGGCUGAGAGUCUGUGGGAGCAGAAGAGGAAACUGAGGCUUUAGAGAACUGUAGCACAUUGGCAAGGACAUCCAGCUCAUAAACACCCUCAGCCUUCAGCAUGAGAACAGGGACAUCAGCCUGCUUUGCCCAUGGAACUGUCUCCAGAGCCUACAACAAUGCUCAGCCUAUGAGAGGUGUCUCCUAGAAGACUUUCCAUUUCAACAAGCCUCAUUUAUAUGCAACUGGCAAUUUCUCUAAACAGAAGAAAAGGGGAGAUUUUGCCAAUCAAUUGGCUUCACCAUCCCCCAGCCCCAAAGUGUGUUUAAGAACAUUUGCCUGUGCAUGCAUGUGUUUUCCUUUGCAUCCCACAAGAGGAAGGGUCUCGCUCUGUGGCCCAGGCUGGAGAGUAUGGUGCAAUCAAGGCUCACUGCCCCAUGUUCAAGCCAUCCUCCCACCUCAGCCUCCCAGAUAGCUGGGACUAGAGACACACAUCACCACGCAUGGCUCUGGGUUACUUCAAUAAGUAUUUUUCAAUAAAUAUUUCUUCAAUAAAUAUUUAAUAACACAAA